rnacentral:rRNA from 1 species
UACGUAGGUGGCAGAGUCGUCGAUUCGACUGGGCGUAAAGCGCGCGUAGGCGGGGGAUUGAAGUGAGAAGUGAAAGGCUGGGGCUCAACCCCAUGCAGUGCUUCUCAUACUGGUCCUCUUGAGGGCGGUAGAGAGAAGUGGAAUGGCUGGUGUAGCGGUGAAAUGCGUAGAUAUCAGUCGGAACACCGGUGGCGAAGGCGGCUUCUUGGGCCGUUUCUGACGCUGAGGCGCGAAAGCCAGGGGAGCGAACGGG